GGCUGACAUGGCGGCCGGGCCAGAUUGAGCCGCUCGCAUCGGGGCCUCCAGAGCCGGGCAUGGGGGGGGCGCAGCCUCAGCGCCCCUAGGGCAGCAGCCAGUGAGGCUGACAAUAAUAGCUGAUAUUCCUAAGUGCAACCAUUGUGAAGCAAGGCUGAGCAGACAAUCAGCCAGUUUCCCGUGCCCAAACAGUCGAUUUUAAUCAACAUUAUAUUACUGGAGAAUUGCGUUUCAAGCAGUCUCAAGUGACA